GAUGAACGCUGGCGGCGUGCCUAAUACAUGCAAGUCGAGCGAACAGAUGAGUAGUUUGCUCCUCUGUCGUUAGCCGCGCACGUGUGAGUCACACGUGGGUACCCUCCCUAUCAUACUGGUAUACCUUCGGGAAUGCGGCGCUUAUCCCGGAGAAUAUCUUGAACCGCAUGGUUCAGUAGUGAAAUACGGUUUUGCUGUCACUUCUCGAUGGAUCCGCGCCACAUUAGCUAGUUGGUAAGUUAACGGCUUACCGAGGCAACGAGGCGUAGCCGACCGUAGAGGGGGAGCGGCCACACGGGAACGUAGGGACGCACCAGACUCCAAAGACAGGCAGCAGUAGGGAGGGUGCCGGAAUGGGCGAAAACUGGACGGAGCGACGCCGCGUGAGUGAGGGAGGUCUUCGGAUCGUAAAACUCUGUUAUGAGGGAAGAACAAAUGGGUAAGGAACUAGGCACUUCUUGACGGUACCUAAUCAGAAAGCAACGGCUAACUACGUG
rnacentral:rRNA from 1 species